UAUGUAUCCAUCUUUAUGGGGUUUUUUUUUUUUUUGGAUGGGAAAAAUUACACCCUUAUCCACUCCUAAUGGAUAUUUUGUACUUCCUUCAAUUCUAAGUAUUUGCAACAGAGCACAAUACUAUUAUCAGACCACAAUCUUAGUACUUACCACCCUGGAAAUCACAGAUGCUGAAUCAAAGAGGACCAACACUGCAAACCGGUAAAAGAACUUGGACUGUUUUCCGCAUUGGUAUUGCAAGCUGGAUGGGUGCAAAUGGCGGGGUUUUCUUCUUCUUCUUUCUUCUUUCUUCUUUUUCCUUCUUCUUCCUUCUUCUUCCUUCUUUGUCUUCUUCCUUCUUCUUCUCCCUUCUUCCUCCUCUUCUUUUCUUUCUUUCUCUUUCAUUGCCUUAUGAACUAUAUGUCAACAUAACCACUGAGGGCUGAUGCCUGGAACGUUGCCAAAGAGGAGGCAAUGUAAGCAAAAUUUUCAGUUUAUCCCUGGUGGAAAUUUCCAUGGAUGUGUCUUUGGGCUAAGGGGUCAGUUGAUUGGACUCAGAUGGGAGUCGGAAAGGGCUCUGAGUAACUCCUCAGUCUCUUUUACCCUUGUUUAUGUUUUUCCUCUACAUUCAUUCUUUGUUACUGAGAAAUAAUUCACAUUCCACCAAACUCACCCUUUUAAAGUGCACAGUUCGGUGGUGGUGGUUAUAUUCACAGAGUUGUACGGCCAUCGCCCCCAUCUUCCCAGAACAUUUUCAUCGUCCCCAGAAGAAGUGCCCACCCCUUAGCAUUAACUCCCCGCCCACCUCAAGCCCCGGCCUGGGAACCACUAAUCUACUUUCUGGUUUAGGAUGUUUUGUAACUUUCAUGGUGCGAGCCUUGUGCUUCUUUUGUUAUAUUCAUUUACUUUUUUUUUUUUAAAGAUUUUUAUUUAUUAAUUUGACAGAGACAUCCAGCGAGAGAGGGAACACAAGCAGGGGGAGUGGGAGAGGAAGAAGCAGGCUCCCAGUGGAGGAGCCCGACGUGGGGCUCAAACCCAGAACGCUGGGAUCACGCCCUGAGCCGAAGGCAGAUGCUUAACGACUGAGCCACCCAGUGCCCCUAUAUUCAUUUACUUUUAAGAAAAGUAUUUGCCAGAGGAAUAUUUUGAUGGACGAGCUUCUUUGUUUUCACGAUAACACUGCAAUUUUCAUCACCUGUGAAAUGUACGAGGCUUCGCAAAUUUCUCAGAGUUCUCAUGAUUCACAUUUUUCAUCCAAUCUUCAGACUUUAAUUUCAGACUUUAUUUACUUCAGCCGUUUUGGCCAACACAGUAAAAGCCAUACGCUGAAACCCUAUCCUGUAGCUGUGCUCUGCGGGGACCAGACUUACUGUAAAUUAACACAGUGUAGGGGUGCCUGCGUGGCUCAGUCAGCUGAGCUUCCGACUCUUGAUUUCGGCUUGGGUCACCUUCUCAGGGUCGUGAGAUCAAGCCUUGUGUUGGGCUCUAUGCUCAGUGGAGAGUCAAUUUCUCUCUCCCUCCCUCCAUCUCUCUCUGCUCCCCCCCCCCACUUAUGUGCUCUCUCUCUCUCUCUGAAAUAAAUAAUUAAGUCUUAAAAAAAUUAAGACAGCGUAUCUGUUUGAAUGCAUAUGGAUAUGAACAACAGAAAGCUCUACUUUACAGGCUGAUGCCAAUAAAAAACCAUUUUUUCCCCUAUGUAGCAAAAAGUUCAGGGGAGAUGUGCUGGGGUUAGUAUCAGUGAUCACCAGGAACUCAGCUUCUUUCUACUUUUCUGUUCCUCUAGCCUUAGCAGAGGCCUUUAUUCUCAAGCCUCUUGUCUUCUGGUUGCAAGAGAGCUGCUGCACUUCCAGACCUCAAACGUAUGUUCCAGGCAGGAAGAAAGAGGGAGGAAGGGUGACAGGAUGCAGAGCUUUCCCUUAUCAAGUCCUUAUCUUCUUAUUCAGGAGGAGAAGACCUCCCCUGGGCUUGGGAAAGCUCAGUGUCUGUUUUAUAUGAACUAUCUAAUCCCUAUUUUAAUCAUCUGAGGUAAGGCAUAUUUUCCCUGCUUUACAGAUGUGGAAGCUUAGAGAACUUAGUAACUUUCCCGAGGUCACAAGUCAGUGGCAGAACUAAGACUAACCGUGGUAACACACUAGGGUUUCCCAGCCUGCGUUUCAUCACUGCACACAAAGCAAUUCCUUGGUCGGUUUUUUUCCUUUGGGUCUCACGAACCUCGUGGAGAUGGGCAAGGCAGAUAUUACGAGAAUAGCCUCAUGUCCCAGAAGAGCAAUUUGAGACCCAGAGAAGGACAUGACGACUUGCCCAAGGCAACUUUCAUUCAACUGGGUUUAAUCUCCCGUCUCACGUCCUGUCUUCUGGACCCCGUGGUCUGUGUGCGGGGGAGGAGCUCUGGAUUCACUGAGGGAGACGGACACACGGAAAGAAAAGGUGCAAACAGAUUUCGUAUACGUCACUUUGCACAAGCUCAGCUUUUGGGGGUUUUCUGCCAAUUCUCCCCUUCCUUUUUUCCCCUAUAGUUUUCAUCCAUCUGACGUAUUUAUUUUCUAACCGGAAGUCUGCACCUCUUCAUCCCCUUUUCCUAUGUCACCCGUCCCCUUCCUGUCUGGCAACCACUUGUUUGUUCUCGGUACUUAGGAGUCCACUUCUGUUUUAUUUGUUCAUUUGCUUUGUUUUGGGUUGUUUUUUGCUUUUUAAAAAAAAUUCCAUAUAUAAGCAAAAUCGUAUGGUAUUUGUCAUUUUCUGUCUGACUUAUUUCACUUAGAAUAUCUUCUAGGUCCGUCAACGUUGUGAACGGCAAGAUCUCGCUUUUUAUGGCUGAGUAAUAUUCCAUCUUGUGUAUGCACUGUGUGUGUUGUAUGUAUUUCAUCUUCUUACCUGUUUGUGGAUGGACACUUAGGUUGUUUCCAUGUGUCGACUCUUGUAAAUAAUGCUGCAGUAAACAUAGGGGUACAUAUAUCUUUUUGAAUCAGUGCUUCGUCUUCUUUGGGUGAAUACUCAGAAGUGAAUUACUGGGUUAUAUGGUAGCUCUAUUUUUAAUUUUUUGGGGAACCUCCGUACUAUCUUCCACAGCGGCUGUGCCGAUUCACAAUCCCACCAGCUGUGAGCAGGGUUCUCUUUGCCCCAUGUCCUCACCAAUACUUGCUCUCUCUCAUCUUUUUGACAACAGCCAUUUGUACUGGUGUGAGGUGACACCCCACUGUGGUUUUGAUUUGCGUUUCCCUGACAAUGAGUGAUGUGGAGCAUUCCUUCAUGGGUUUCCUGGCUCUGCCCGUUCCCCUUGCCAGGAUGCGACGGCUGUGUGUAUCAUGACGAAUGUGGCUCUGAGCUCUGACCUCAGUGCCUGGAUCAUGAGUCUUUGAGAAAAAUCUGUAAAUGAUUUAUAGACGAGCAGACAUGAAGGCUUCAACUACAGUGAAUAGAUGAACACAAUGGGUUGCAGUGUUUGGGUAAAAAGAUGCCCAUUUUAAAAUAAAAGUAUGAUAUUUCGAUGUGGUGGUAAGUAAGAAAAUGUUGGUAAUCACACAGUGAACAGAUUAGUAUUAGGAUAAGGCCUUAACUUGGUUCUCAAUAUGGAGGCGCAUAGUAGGGACUCAAUAAAAUAUUGAAUAACUCUGGGAGUUGAGCCAGCUUAAUGAAUUGAUCACUGGACUUUUGACACCACAGUCAGACAAUUUUAAAGUAUCCUGUGUAUUCCGUGGUUAUUCCGUGACUCCAGGUGAUCUCUAAACUAAGCCAUUAUCAAAUUGGUGUUGCGAAUUAGAGGACAAAAGCCCAAACUUAAACUCACUUUCACGGAGGAAACCUCACGUGGUCCUCAUUUCUUGCCCGCUCUUGCUAGUGGCCUGAAAUGUGAACAGCAUUAGUGGCUGACACAAGCAAGCAGGCUGCCUGCUGGCUCCCAGUCAGCUUUGGAUCAGUGCAAAUCAAGGGGCUGCCCCGGGAGCUAAUUACGCAGACACAACGAUGUGCUGUGGCCGGCGGACCACUGCUGGAUGCAGUGCUCCUAGCUGCUCUCUCUUACGAGCACAGCAGAAGCAGCCAGGACAGAACCCCUCUUUGGGUGUGUCUUCUCCAUCCUCCUGUCCUUCCAGCUGCUCAGGCUGAUAGCUUUGGAGUAGUCUUGACUCCUGUUUCUUUCACAUUCCUCGUCAGAUCUGUGAGCAAACCCGCCGGCCCUGCUUUGAGAACAUUCUUAUCCUGCUCAGAGUAAAACCUCAAGUUCUUCCAGUGGCUUGUCACCCCCAUGGCUUCUCUGAAUUGAUGUGCCACUCCCCCUGGCUUUCUGUGCUUGGGCCACAUGGACCUCCUUCCUGUUCCUGAAGCACGUCAGGUAUCGUGGAGUAGGAGGAUGUUUCAGUCCACUCAGGCCUCCCCAUUGCUAGAAAUGGAACACUGGCCCUGACAUCCUGAAGCUUCUAGCUUAAUGACUUCUGCUCUGUACUUGUCCUUUCUUGGCAUUUACAUAACUGGAGGAAUGGUUGCAAAUAUAUAAUAUUAUAGUAACUAGCUAUUAAAGAUUUUGUUUUUUAAUUUUUAAAGUAAUCUCUGCACCCAACGUGGGGCUUGAACUCACAACCCCGAGAUCAAGCAUUGCAUGCACCACUGGCUGAGCUGGCCAGGCGCCCUGGUAACCAGUCAUUAGAAGGAGCAGACAUAACUUCUGUUCCCAGUGGGAAGCCUGUUGGUAAAGAAGAGGAGCCCCUGGAACUGAAUGACUGACCCUUGUCCCCAAGCCUUUUCCUCAUGUGAACUGGCAGGUGAAGUCUGCUCAGCUGCCCUGCGUGCUCCAGGCUUACGAACCAAAGUCCACUUUUAGAGCUGGGGAUGACAUCCGUUUGGCACUGGGCUGUGGGCCGGGCUCCUGGGUGAAACCCGCUCCCACUGCCUGCCUUUCAGAGCUCGUGUCUGCAGGAUGCUGUUUUCAGGAUCACCUGAGCCUCGCAAAUGCUCCAGGAAUUCACUUUGCAGCCUGGCACAUUCCAAUUCCCUGUGUAGGGCGGCCACGCCCAGAUUCCACGGGAGAGCCUCAGCAGAUCGGCUUCCCCCGUAGGCCUUCCCCACCUCCUCAGGUGUUUCUGCCUCGUGACUUGGAGCUGUGGUGCCACCAGGCAGGGAUGUGUCUGCGUUUGUGCGUGACGUCAUUGGUCCCGGAUGAGAGGUAGGUUUCUUCUUCACCCCAAGCACAUUUCUACAACUGUCUUGGUUCAUCUUUGUAAGCAGAUACAACUGGGGGAGGGGGUCUGCUGAUGGGCUGUGUGGCAAGGGCAGCCCAGGCACCCACACUCUGCCCCGCGGAUCUUCCAAAGGCUUCUGAGCCUCUUCUCCACAUGGUCCCUCCCUGCCCAUGCUGCUUACUUGGCUCAUGUCCCCUGUGCGCUGCAGCCCAGCUGGCCUGCUCACCGCCUCUCCCCCCUGCCCAGGACAGCCCCCUCCUCCAGAAUCCCCCAGACCCUCCAGCCCUCCCGGAGCCCUCCUGGGACGUGCAGCUCUUCAAGGUCGCAUCUCGGACUUCCAGCUUGAGCUAGUGAGGAAGGAGACCUGCCAGCUCCCUGCGUGUCCCUAUCUUGGCAGCCGGGCACUCCUGCAUGGCCACUGUCCCUGGCUGGGCACUGGUGGGGGCUGCACCUCCUGCAGAUGGUACCGUGACCACAGCCUCAGCUGAUAAGGAACCAGGAGGAAGCCCAGCUCUGGGCUGAGUUGUCAGAUGAAGUUAGCCUGCUACCCCCCGCCCCCGCAGGGCACUGUGGCCUGACAGCAGCAGAGACGAGAAACACGACCUCCAUCUUCUUGGGGUACUUAAGCAGCCCAGGAAUGCGGUUUUAAGCUGUCCUGGCAAUGCUGCCCUGGCUCUUGAGGAUUUUCUUUCUCCAGUCUCCCUGAAUCUCAGAAGCGCCGAUUCCGCCUGGCCUGGCCCUGCUCCGGGAACCAGCACACUGGCCCUGUCCCCCAGUUCUUGUGUGAUGGGCCCCUCUGCCUGCUUGUCCGAGGUCUGCGUGUCCUAGGGUUGUGACAGGGGCAGCCACCACUGCACCCCUGUCCCUGCUGAAGAACGGGGUGAUACUGCAGACCUAAACCUGCCUUGUAUGAAUCAGAAACCCUGUCCAAAGGAACCGGAUGGCAUGGGAGGAAAUUGAAUGCAGCUGAGUUGGAAGGUGGCAUCUGGGGACGCUCCUGAGUUCAAAUCCCACCCCCACCCCCGUAAUUAUUGGCUGAACCUUGGUUUCGUCAAAGGCUGGUUGAAGAUGGAAUGAGACAGUAAGUGGAGAAGCCAGACACAGAGCAAGCAUGCAGAGCGGUAAUUAUUGCUGUCAGGCUGGGGCAGAAGGAACAGUGAGCUAGACCUGCCUCUGUCAAGGAAUGGCUCUGUGACCUCCAGGACCAACCCCAGCCUCGGUGUCUGCCUCUGUCCCGGGGCUGUUUGUCUUGUCCCCUGACCUCCCAGCACCGUUCUCAGGAUCAAAGGAAGGGGUACAGGGGCAAGCCUCUUGCAAACCAUGAAGUAUUUCAUAAACCCAAGAUGUUUGUA